UCAGAGCCAUCAUCAAUCACUUCAACCCGAAGAUAGAGUCUUAUGCUGCGGUGAAUCACAUAUCACAGCUCUCAGAGGAUCAGGUUUUGGAAGUGGUGCGGUCCAACUACGACACGCUGACCCUGAAACUGCAGGAUGGACUGGACCAGUAUGAGCGCUACUCAGAGCAGCACAAAGAGGCUGCCUUCUUCAAAGAGCUGGUUCGCUCCAUCAGCAUCAACGUGAGGAAGAACCUUGCUUUCAACACACUGAGCCAGGAACUGCUGCUGAAGGAAUUCUCCACGAUCUCUUGAAGCUGGGACGCAGCCGCUGCGCAGGGCUGACCAGAGACGGGCCUGUCAGGGCAGGGACACUACAGAUCUGCAGCCGGUCACACUUUGACUGCCACCUGCAGAAGGGACUGCAUUUCUUCUAGGAGAGAGCCUUGCUGCUGUGUGUUUGAUCCCAGAGGCAUGUAUUUCAACAGGACUGGGGCUGAGGAGAGGUGAUCAGCAUGUUGAGGAGGAGGAGGAAGCAAUUUUGUAAGGUGCCCCGGGGGUGGGCAGCCGUUCCUGUGAUGUAGCAAUGGGAAAUUCUCUCUGCAGCCUCAGGGAAGAUGCACUGGAAACCUUUGUAGCAGAGCUGUGGAGAGCUCACAACCAAAAUAAUAAAACCAGUCCAGCUGUGUGAG